AUACGUAGGGUGCAAGCGUUAAUCGGAAUUACUGGGCGUAAAGCGUGCGCAGGCGGUUUUGUAAGACAGUGGUGAAAUCCCCGGGCCCAACCUGGGAACUGCCAUUGUGACUGCAAGGCUGGAGUGCGGCAGAGGGGGAUGGAAUUCCGCGUGUAGCAGUGAAAUGCAUAGAUAUGCGGAGGAACACCGAUGGCGAAGGCAAUCCCCUGGGCCUGUACUGACGCUCAUGCGCGAAAGCGUGGGGAGCAAACAGGAUUAGAUACCCUGGUAGUCCACGCCCUAAACGAUGUCAACUGGUUGUUGGGUCUUCAUUGACUCAGUAACGAAGCUAACGCGUGAAGUUGACCGCCUGGGGAGUACGGCCGCAAGGUUGAAACUCAAAUGAAUUGACGGGG
rnacentral:rRNA from 1 species